AAUGCAUUGAUUAAUGCACGAAAAGCUAUCGAUAAAUCUUUUGCUGGUGAAGCAGAGGAUGUUCCCAUAUUAUCAACUAGUGUAGCCUAUGGAGUUUAUAUGGCAGUUUCUAGCAAUCUAAGGUACCAAGUUCUCGCUGGAGUAAUCGAACAACGAAUUCUAGAACCCUUGCUACACAAACACAAGAUUAUACUGAGUGCAAUUUGCUUUGUUGUUCGAACAGGCAACACAUUCUUGGGGUCCUUGAUGUGGGUUGAUUAUGCACGGUGGGUUGGAAUUCAAAAGAUACGAGAUUAGAGCAUAGGGUAGAUUACAUGAUUAUUGUAAGUAAUUUUAUUUUUGUGUGGAUAUUGAUUUUGUUUAUGGAAUUACAGUGCGGUAACCUUCCGAUAAAAAUGCAAGAGAUGGGCAUUUAGAAAA